rnacentral:rRNA from 1 species
UCCGCCAGAGAACUACAAGUGAAAAACUUGAAACUCAAAGGACUUGACGGUGUCCCAUAUCGGCCUAGAGGAGCCUGUCCUAUAAUCGAUACCCCCCGUUCCACCCAACCACAACUAGCAAAAUACCAGCCUAUAUACCGCCGUCGACAGUUUACCCUAUGAAGGUCUAAUAGUAAACACAAUAGCCCUACAACGCUAAUACGUCAGGUCAAGGUGUAGCAAAUGUUGAGGAAGAGAUUGGCUACAUUUUUUAAUAUAAAAAACACGAAUUGCACUAUGAAAUACUGCAUGAAGGUGAAUUUAGUAGUAAAACAGAUAAGAGUGUCUGUUUUAACAACGCUCUGGGACGCGUACACACCGCCC